rnacentral:rRNA from 1 species
CCCUUAGAUGUUCUGGGCCGCACGCGUGCUACACUGAGUGGAUCAGCGGGUCAGGUUGCGCGAAAGUGUUUCCUAAUCUUUAAAUCCGCUCGUUAUGGGGAUUGACGGUUGCAAUUUUCCGUCAUGAACGAGGAAUACCUUGUAAGCGCGGGUCAUCAUCCCGCGCUGAAUACGUCCCUGCCCUUUGUACACACCGCCCGUCGCUCCUACCGAUUGAGUGGUCCGGUGAGGCUUUGGGAUCUGAGCGGAAAGAGCGUUUCGCUGUUUCUGCCCGGAAAACUCAGUCGAACCUUAUCAUUUAGAGGAAGGAGAAGUCGUAACA